GUGGUUGUGUGGGGUGGGUUAAAUGAAGGGAAAGGUAUGUCCUUUGGAAGAGAAGGCAAUACUGGUUUUGGGAGUGAUGGCAAUUCGGGUACUUUGGGAAGUUCUGGUUUAGGAAUAUUUGGUAAUUCGGGCAAUUUAGGGAGUUCUGGUUUUGGUAAGUUUGGUAGUUCAGGUAGUUUUGGGAGUUCAGGUUUUGGUAGAUGAUCGGGAACUUCAGCAAGUUUAGGGAGAUCAAACUUAGGCAUGGUUGGAAUUUCAGGAACUUUGGAGUGAUCAAAGUUAGGUACUUUUGGUAAUUCAGGCAACUUUGGAAGUUCAGGCUUUGGCAAUUCAGGGACUUUAGGCUUUUCUAGAGGUGGAAGAUGAGGCAGUGGAGGUAACUCAACUUUCGGUAGUGGAGGAAGCUCUGACUUUGGCAAAGUGGGUAUUUCAGGCUUUGGAAGCCCUUCAGGUCCAUGAGGUAUUGGCGUCUCCAAGAGAUGCCUUGCGCUCACUGACAUAAUAAGAAAAUCAAAGCUCAUGGUGACUAUAAGAAUACCAAGUACCAAAGAAGCUUUAAGGGUUGAUAAGGGACGAGUAGCCAUUAGGAUCUAAACAACAAUGGACCAAGGAAUUGAUAAUAACACAAAAACGAAGAUGAUUUGAUGAGAUUAGCUGUGUUGAUGAUCUCAAUAUGCAACAUGCAAAGGUAUUUAUAGGUAAAGAAAGAAGAGGUGGAGAAAAGCACAUAUAUGAAUUGUUUAAGAAGAGAUGAAUAAUGGUAGAGGAAGUGUUAGUUCAACUUUCACACCUACACAUUUGAGUACACAUUUCUUGCAAAAAUAAAAUUCUUAAAAAGUAGAAAUAUAUAUACAUUAUUUGAUUGUACCAAUAAUAAACCAUAUAUUAGUGAAAAUAAAUAAUAAUUAUAUCUAAUUUCUUCCAAAAUAAGAGAAAAACAAUAGUUCUUUAUUAUCCAUAUACAAAAUCAAGAUACUUGAAAGAUUAAAAGAAAAAAGAAAAAAAAAACCCAUAAAAAUGUCCAAAUAAAUUUAAUCAAAUAAUGAUCUUCAUAAAUUUUAUUUCUUCCUUCUUUGACAUUUUUGACACAAGAUUAUGAUCAAUGUCUUCAAUUGAGUCAAAUAUGGUUUGCUUACCAAACAAAUAGAGAAUGCUAAUAACUUAUUCUUUAGUAUAUAUGGAGUUUGUUGGCCAAAUUAUUAUCAGUAGAUCUUCCUUUUCUUUUAUUCUUUGUACCAUGCAACGUUUACCUUAAGAGUAUUGCAAAAUCCUUUCGCCCACUCCGCGUUAGCAAUGCAAAAAAAUAGCAAAUUUUUUUUUAUAAUAAUAGGACUUAUCUCGCUACAAAUAGCAAAUCUAAAAUGGGAUAAUUGCAAAUUUAUCUAUUAGAUUCAAAAUAAUUAGGUAUAUAACAACAUUUUAAAUAAAAAAUUUGCAAGUAUAGCAAAAUUUAUCAAUGAUAUGUUGCAAAUAUUGGUCUAUCUAUCCCUGAUAUUGAUACAAGUCUAUCAGCGAUGGUUUUGUUAUAUUUGCAAUUUUUUAAAAAUGUUAUUAUAUUUUUAAUUAUUAUUUCUAAAAUAACCAUCAAUUAUAAUUACUCUAAUUUAAAAGCCGAUAACCCUCUAAUAACUUUUCGAUAGACGUUUGAUAUCACCAAUUUUUCCAUAUUCACACUAUGUAAAAAGAAAUAGGUGUUAUAGGUUAUUUUUUUGUAAUGUUUUUUUUUUUUAUUUGAUGCAAUUUUCCAUAUUGAAAAGGGUAAAUUGCAUAGGUGAAACCAUCAAAUUAAAUAUUUAUGACCAUUUUCUGAUCACAACACAAUUUUAACCUUACUUAUUUUAUGUACUUAAAUUGUUUUAAAAUAAUUUUUCUUAGGGAUGUAGAUUUUGAUCACAACACUCUGUAGUUUCACAUGUCAAGAAGAAUAGCAUUUUUGUUGAUUUGUUACUUUUCUAAUUUUUCAACUUUUUUUUAAUUUUGAGCUUUAUUUAAACUCAAAAUCUUAAUUUACAGAGAAAUUGAAUUUAUAAACAUUUUUUUUAAAAAAAUUCACAUCGUUACACUUCAAAGAUGAAUUGAUGUAAGUUUUUUCUUUUAUCAUCUAAAGCUUUCAUGAUGUCCUCUGGUUAAAUUAGAUUUUAUGUAUAUGUCAUUAUAAUCUCCGAUCAUAAAAGAAUUUAUCUUUUUUGAAAUAAGUAUAACGUAAUUGUAAAAUGCUUCAUUUUUUCAUAUUAUUAAAUAUAAUUUAUCUUCUUCAAUCAUAUUUCUCGAACUAGAUUACCAAACUAUGAAUUUAUUCAAGUCAUAUAAUUCGAUUGGAUUUGUAUGUCCUGGUAGUUUCUCUUCAGUAUGCUAUUGUCAUUUUAAGUAGUGAAUAAUUUGGACUUUUGUAUAUCUCUCAGCUUAUAAAUUUACCCCAUGUGUAACCAUUGAGAGAAGUUCUACAAAGAAACAACAUUACAGUUACAACAUAUAUGAUAAAUGAAAAUAUGAUUUUAUAUAUUCAUAAUAUAAAUCUACAAGACAGCAACAUCAUGUAAACUAUAAGAACACACUGAUAUAAAUAGGAACAAACCAUUACAUAAAAAGGUAAUCUCACACUGACUAGAAAUGACACAUGGUUUUCAAUGUUGUAUAUAAAUGUAUGUUUAAUUCUAACUUUGUAGAUCAAAUAUGGUCUUCAAGGGUUGAUUGUGGUGGUAUGGGGUGAGUUAAAUGAAGGGUAAGGUAUGUCCUUAGGAAGGGAGGCAAAUGCUGGCUUUGGGAGGGGUGGGAACUCAGGCAGCUUAGGGAGUUCUGGUUUGGGCACAUUUGGUAAUUCUGGCAAUUUUGGAACUUCAGGUUUAGGAAAAUUUGGCAAUUCAGGAAAUUUAGGGAACUCAGGUUUUGGCAGUUCUGAAACUUCAGAUAGUUUAGGCACGUUUGACGAAUCUUUUGAGUGAUCAAGGUUAGGUACUUUUGGUAAUUCAGGCAAUUUCGGCUUUUCCAAGGGUGGAAGAUGAGGCAAUGGAGGUAACUCAACCUUUGGCAAUGGAGGAAACUCGAGGUUUGGCAAAGAAGGUAUUUCUGGUUUUGGAAGCUCUUCAGGUAAUGGAGUUUCCAAGAGAUACCUCGCAUCCACGGUCAUGAUCGAAAUAUCAAAAUUCAUCAACAUAAAAACACCAAGUAUCAAAGGAAAUACCAAA
rnacentral:lncRNA from 1 species